GCGACCCCAGUUCCAGGUUGGGUUCCCAAAUUA
rnacentral:rRNA from 1 species